UACAGAGGUCUCAAGCGUCGUUCGGAUUCAUUGGGCGUAAAGGGUGCGUAGGUGGCGAGGUAAGUUGGAUGUGAAAUCCCGGGGCUCAACCCCGGAACUGCAUUCAAUACUGCCUUGCUAGAGUACUGGAGAGGAGAUUGGAAUUUACGGUGUAGCAGUGAAAUGCGUAGAUAUCGUAAGGAAGACCAGUGGCGAAGGCGGAUCUCUGGACAGUUACUGACGCUGAUGCACGAAAGCGUGGGGAGCAAACAGG
rnacentral:rRNA from 1 species